rnacentral:rRNA from 1 species
GUGUCAGCCGCCGCGGUAAAACGUAGGAGGCAAGCGUUAUCCGGAUUUACUGGGUGUAAAGCGCGUGCAGGCGGUCGUGCAAGUCGCGUGUGAAAGCGCCCGGCUCAACCGGGCGAGGCCGCGCGAAACUGCAGGACUGGAGGCCGGUAGAGGCGUGUGGAAUUCCGGGUGUAGUGGUGAAAUGCGUAGAGAUCCGGAGGAACACCAGUGGCGAAGGCGACACGCUGGACCGAGCCUGACGCUCAGACGCGACAGCAUGGGGAGCGAACGGGAUUAGAAACCCUAGUAGUCC